CAGUAGGAAUGCGUCUCCUGCUCGAUCGCCGUCCAGUCACCACAGCCCUUCAGGCUCCCGGCUGAAUUUAGCAAAGGAGAGCAGAGAAAAGACACAAGAGAUGUCGGAGGUGCUGCGUGAGAAGGAGCGCCGUGCGCAGCAGCAGCUGGAUCGCUGCGCCGAGGAGCGAGGGAGGAAGAUGGAGCAGCAAAGGAAGAAGGA